rnacentral:rRNA from 1 species
AUACGGAGGGUGCAAGCGUUGUCCGGAUUUAUUGGGUUUAAAGGGUGCGUAGGUGGUUUUUUAAGUCAGUGGUGAAAGCCUACAGCUUAACUGUAGAGGUGCCAUUGAUACUGGGGAACUUGAGUAUGGACGAGGUAGGCGGAAUUUGUGGUGUAGCGGUGAAAUGCAUAGAUACCUCAAGGAACACCGAUAGCGAAGGCAGCUUACUGGGCCAUAACUGACACUCAGGCACGAAAGCGUGGGGAGCGAACAGGAUUAGAAACCCCAGUAGUCC